AUGGACCAUUCCAUCCCUUUUUCCCGUGCAUAUGCAUCGGACUCGGAUGACGAUGGUCCCGAUGAACAAGUUGAUGCGGAGGGGUUCACGGUGAAGGAGGCCGAAGCUUUCGAGAAGGUAUUUGGUCGGGAUCAUCGGACUACAUUGUUCAAGGAUGUUAGUCUCGCGGAUGAAGCCGUGGUAGAUGGUGGCCAAUGUGUACCUCUUGGGGUUAGGCCAAGCUCUCACUGUGAUUUGGUAGACGACAAGAACCGGAUUGCUAAAGGUUCUAAGUUCGACAGCUUGUUGGAUUUGAAGAUGUGGCUCGACAACUACUCGGUUACGCAUUAUCGUCCACACAAGGUGGUGCACUCGGAUGUCAAUGUGCGCUACACGGUUGCAUGUGCAUGUGAAGAUGAAAGGAGGUCCAACUUGGACUUACAAGAGGCCGUGGUGGUGGUAGAGGUCGUGGAAAGGAGGUCCAACAAGGAGUGGCAAGACGCCGUGGCGGUUGUCCGUGGAUUGUGCGUGCAAGACCAUGGAAAGGAGGUCCUACUUGGCAUGUAG
rnacentral:rRNA from 1 species